rnacentral:tRNA from 1 species
GGAGAGGUGGCUCAGUGGGUGAAAGCACUGGCUGCUUUCCCCAAGGACCUGGGUUCAGUUCCCAGCACCUUCU